rnacentral:rRNA from 1 species
CUACGACCUCAGAUAAGGCAUGGCAACCUACUGAAUUUAGCAUAUUACUAAGCGGAGGAAAAGAAACUAACCAGGAUUCCCUCAGUAAUGGCGAGUGAAGAGCCCAGCGUCGAACCCCAUCCAGCGGCAGGCGCAGGAAAUGUGGCAUACUGAAGACUGACUCCCCGGUAUCACUGAGGGAGCCCAAGUCCUUCUUAUCAAGGCUCACCCUGCAGACGGUGUUCAGCAAGUAGUGGCCCAUCGCGCAGUGGUAUCAGGGGUCUGUCGGCUUGAGAAUGCAUGCCAUAGCGGGUGGUAAAGUCAUACAGGUGUGGGACCGAUAGCCAACAAGUACUGAAAGGGAAAGAGGGGAUUCAAAAUGUUGAGAGGUAAACGGGUGGGGUCUCCUUAGUCCGCCCGGAGGACUUAACACGGCAGGCAGGUCAGUCACCUGGAAUGAGGGACCUCUUGCAGGACUGCCGCCCAGGUGCACCUGGCUUCUGCAUGGCACAUUUCCUCCAUGGUGGUGCACCACGACUGGUUCUAGGUUGACUGGCAAGGAGUAUGGUGGUUCUCCUCUACGGUAGAGAUUGUUACAGCCUCCUGGCAGCAGUUUCACCAUGCGCUCGGGCCGAGGGAGAUUGACUGCUGCCGUGCUCUCCUCCGGCAUCCGUCCCGGCCCCUCUUGGGGGUCACUGGGGAGUACGAUGGGGAACUGGGCACCCUGCUCCCUGUGUGACUGUCAACCGUGGUGGACUGUCCUCAUUGCUUCCUCAUCCCGAAGGCCGCGAGAGGUCGCCAGUGUUGUUGGUUACCCAACCGACCCGUCUUGAAACACAGACCAAGGAGUCUAACACAUGCGUGAGUCGGAGGGCUGAAUGAAACCUCAUGGCACAAUGAAGGUGAGUGCCAGUGCGCACCGGCUGAGGCGGGAUCCUGUUGCAGAGUUGCUGCUGGUGCACCACCAGCCCAUCUCGCCUGCUCUAACAGGGAGGUGAAGCAUUAGUGUGUGUGAUAGGACCCAAAGAUGGUGAACUAUGCCUGGGCAGGGCAAAGCCAGAGGACACUCAGGUGGAGGUCCGUAGCAGCCCUGACUUGCAAAUCGGUCAUCUGACCUGGGUAUAUGGGCGAAAGACUAAUUGAACCAUCUAGUAGCUGGUUCCCUGUGAAGUUUUCCUCAGAAUAGCUGGCGCUCGGAAACCCCAGUUUUAUCUGGUAAAGAGAAUGAUGAAAUGUCUGUGGACCAAAACUAUCUCUACAUAUUCUCAAACUUUAAAUGGGUAAGAAUUCCGGCUCAAUGGCGUGCAACUGGGCAUCAAAUGCGAGUGCACAGUGGGCCACUUUUGGUGAGCAGAACUAGCAGUGCAGGAUUAACCAAAUGCUGGGUUAAGGCGCCUGAUGUCAAUGAUCAUCAGAUCUCAUGAAAGGUGUUGGUUGAUAUAGACCACAGUACUGUGGCCUUGGAAGUUGGAAUCUGCUAAGGAGUGUGUAACAAAAUUAACCUGCCGAAUUGACUAGCACUGAAAAUGGAUGGCAAAUUAAGCACAUACCCGGCCAUCAACAGCACUGUGAGCCGUGGGGGCUAAGCCACAAUGAGUAUGAGGGCCGUUGUGGUGUGCACGGAAUCCCGGGUGAGUAGUAGCAAAUAUUCAGAUGAGAACUUUGAAGGAUAAAUUGGCAAAGGGUUCCUAUUACAAAGCAGUUGAACAUGGGUCAGUCGGUCCUAAGAGAUGGGUGAGCACCAUUCAGAGGGAUGGGUGAUGGCCUCUGUUGCCCCAGCUGAUCGAAAGGGAGCCGGGUUCAGAUCCCCGAUCCCGGAGUGGUGGAGACGGGUACCCUUGUGACAUCCAGUGUAGUAAUACAAAUGAUCCCUCAGUAGCCAAAGGGAGCCACGGGAAGUGUUUUCUUUUCUUUGUGAAGGGCAGGGCACACUGGAAUGGGUUUGUCCUGAGAGUGAGGCCCGAGUAUUGUAAAGCAUUGAGGUUCCGGGAGCACCCAGUGAACUUUUGCUGGCCAUUGAAAAUCUGGGGGGAGAGGGUGUAAAUCUCACGCCGGCCGUACCUAUAUCCACAGCAGGUCCCCAAGGUGAACAGCUUCUGGCAUGUUGGGACAAUGUAGGAAAGGAAGUCGGCAAGUCAGCAAGUCAGAUCAGUAACUUUGGGAUAAGUAUUGUCUCUAAGGGAUGGAUCAUUCGGGCUGGGGUGCGUAUCUCCCAUGGGGGCAAUGCCGACUCUGGACCUGGUUGCCUCCCUCCGUUCCUUUCCUGGGGUUCAGGGCCAGUGUUCUGCCUCGGCCAAUACCUAGCAGCUGACUUAGAACUGGUGCGGACUAAAGGAAUCCGAUAGCUUAAUUAUAACAAAGCAUUGUGAAGGCCUGCGUUGGGUGUUAACGCAAUGUGAUUUCUGCCCAGUGCUCUGAAUGUCAAAGUGAAGAAAUUCAAUGAAGCGUGGGUAAACGGCGAGAAAACUAUGACUCUCUUAAGGUAGCCAAAUGCCUUGUCAUCUAAUUAGUGAUGCAAAUUAAGGGAUGAACAUGAUUUCAACUGUACCUACCCACACUCUAAUGAAACCACAGCCAAGGGAACGGUUUUGGCAAAAUCAGCAGGGAUAGAAGACCACGUUGAACUUAACUCUCUUCUGGCACUUUGAAGAGACAUAAGAGGUGUAGGAUAAGUGGGAGGUCCUCGGGCUGCUGGUGAAAUACCACUAAUUUUAUUGCUUUUUCACUUACCCGGUGAGGGGGGGCAGCCCUGUGGGGCUCUUGCUUCUGGUUACAAUGACCUGCACCGGGGACAGUGGCAGGUGGGAGUUUGACUGGGGCGGUACAACUGUCAAACGAUAAUGCUGGUGUCCUAAGGCGAGCUAAACAAAGACAGAAACCUCUUGCAGGACAGAAGGGCAAACGCUUGAUUGAUCUCGAUUUUCAGUAUGAAUAAAGCAGGGCCUCACAAUCCUUCUGACUUUUGGGUUUCAAGCAGAAGGUGUCAUAAAAGUUACCAUGGAUUUUUGGCGGCCAAGUUUUCAUAGCGACAUCGCUUUUUGAUCCUUCGAUGUUGCUAUUCCUAUCAUUGUGAAGCAGAAUUCACCAAGCGUUGGAUUGUUCACCCACUAAUAGGGAAAUGAGCUGGGUUUAGACAAUUUUGAAACUGGUUUUACCCUUCUGAUGAUGUGUCAUUGCAAUAGUGAUCCUGCAGAGUACGAGAGUAACCACAGGUUCAGACAUUAGGUGGAUGUGUUUGACUGAGGAACAAAUGAGGCAAAGCUACCACCUGUGGGAUUAUGACUGAACGCCUCUAAAUCAGAAUCCCUCUAAACCGUAAUGAUACCACAGCACUGUGAGAUCUCAGUCAGCCUAGGAUAGCCAGCCGCAGGACGAGUGCGCAGUGCCGCCCGUAUUAGGUUUCGAGUCUGAACAGAAGGGCCACCUCUCU